rnacentral:rRNA from 1 species
GAUGAACGCUGGCGGCGUGCCUAAUACAUGCAAGUCGAGCGAACGGACGAGAAGCUUGCUUCUCUGAUGUUAGCGGCGGACGGGUGAGUAACACGUGGAUAACCUACCUAUAAGACUGGGAUAACUUCGGGAAACCGUAGCUAAUACCGGAUAAUAUUUUGAACCGCAUGGUUCAAAAGUGAAAGACGGUCUUGCUGUCACUUAUAGAUGGAUCCGCGCUGCAUUAGCUAGUUGGUAAGGUAACGGCUUACCAAGGCAACGAUGCAUAGCCGACCUGAGAGGGUGAUCGGCCACACUGGAACUGAGAGACAGUCCAGACUCCUACGGGAGGCAGCAGUGGGGAAUCUUCCGCAAUGGGCGAAAGCCUGACGGAGCAACGCCGAGUGAGUGAUGAAGGUCUUCGGAUCGUAAAACUCUGUUAUUAGGGAAGAACAUAUGUGUAAGUAACUGUGCACAUCUUGACGGUACCUAAUCAGAAAGCCACGGCUAACUACGUG